rnacentral:rRNA from 1 species
UUUGUAGGUGGCUUGUUAAGUCAGACGUGAAAUCCCUCAGCUUAACUGGGGAACUGCGUCUGAUACUGGCGAGCUUGAGUGCAGGAGAGGAACGCGGAAUUCCAGGUGUAGCGGUGAAAUGCGUAGAUAUCUGGAGGAACACCGGUGGCGAAGGCGGCGUUCUGGACUGCAACUGACACUGAAAAACGAAAGCCAGGUAGCAAACG